GCCGGUUGCCUCCGCCGUCCCCUUCUAGAAAACCCAUUUGCUCUCUCUCUCUUUCCUCCGCGAAGCGCGGCUCUUUGUGGACCGCGCCUCCGCCUCCGCCGGUUUCCUCCAUCGUCGCCUCCCGGAGCCCAUCGGUGGCUCAGAUCCUGACCACGCGGCCGCCUCCGCCUACGCCUACGCCGUCGCCGUCUCCUCCGAAGCCCUCCAUUGGCGAUUCGUCCUCUGCCACUCUCUCUCUAUCCCAAGAAAUGGCUCCGCUCUGCUCUCUGUGACGAACCGCGCCUCCGCCGUCGCCUCCCGCAGCCCCUUUGGAGAUCUCAGGCUUCGACUCGCCCUCUGCGUUACCUCCCGAAGCCCCAUUCUCAGAUCUCGACCACGCGACCGCCUCCGCCUACGCCGUCGCCUCCGAAGCCCCCAUUUGGCGAUUCGUCCUCUGCCCCUCUCUCUUUGUCCCGAGAAACGGCUUUGCUCGGCUCUCUGUGACGAACCGCGCUACCAACAGGUUCCCUAUUAUUAUGUUUUUUUGGCGUUCGGGCAGAUUGUCGGAUUGGUCGUGCUUAAUUUGUCAAAUAAUCAGCUUGAGGUUCGUUUGGUGAAUGGGUGAUAAUGCUUGUGCUUGUUAUGACUGUGUGCUAAAUGAAAGAUGUGGCCUGUGC